CUUGAACCCGGGAGGCAGAGGUUGCGGUGAGCCGAGAUCGCACCACUGUACUCCAGCCUGGGCAACAGACUGAUAACGCUGUUUCAAAAACAAACAAAAAUUAUCAGUAUGUUCUUACUAAUCUAUUGAUUGUAUUAUCCUGCUCCCUAUUGGCUAAAAUCAAGUCACCCUGCUGGUGCGUAGUUAUUAAGCCAACUUGUAUCCUCCCUUGAAUAUUAAUUAUGCUCCUAUUGUGCACUCUUCUUCCUAUAUAUUACUGUACCCUCUUCAUUUUAGUCUAGGCACAGGGUCUCUGGAGUUGCAAAAUCCUGGUCAACUUCUCCAACAUCUCAGUAAAGGAGAAUUCAUUUCUAACUGCUGGAUCUGCCACCAGCACCAUCAGCUCUCUUCAGGGGUUCUUUUCAUGGCCCCUUUAAUCCCAUCUACCCUUAACCUGACCAUACAUUGUUUAAAUAGAGGCCAGCGGUCUAAACCCAAUCCUUUAACUUUCAGACUGCCUCCUACUCAUCAAGUUUCUUUCUUUAAUCUUACCCCAUGUAAAAACUAUUCUGUUGCUUUAGGAAAUGAGGAAUUAAACUUCACCUGAGCAAGGUGGAUUCCUUGCAAUUUUCCUUCUUGUUACAACUUUACUUGGCACCCCACCUCUAACUUAAAUACCUGUACAUAUAACUUAACUCACUGUGCCCUGUAGAAUUACUAGGGAUAUAUGUGCCCAAGCUUGCUAGCAAAACCUUCUCUAAUUAUUUAAGGGUGUGUGAAUACUGGCAGGGUAACAUCCCACCACUUUGGAAAUAUAGCUUCACACUGUCCAAAGGGUUCACAGCAAAUUACAAGCUCAGCUAUGGGAGCAGAUCUACCUUGCUCCAGGAUACCUCAAAGUUCAUCCAUGACCACCUAGGACAGGAAAACAUGGAGCAAUAUGCAAACAAUUAUCAGGAGCAUUGCUUGCUAUCCCCCAACUGCACAAUUCAUAACCUGAAUCUCAUAAUUCUCAAUCACACUCAGGAGGGCAUUCACAUCUGUGCCACUCCAAGAAUUGUUUCUCUUUGUGGCAAUGCUCAUAACUGCCUCCUGUGGCCCACUGCCCACUCUCCUUAUACUUUUAUUCUGCUGGAGCAAGCCUAUUCUUGCAUAGACAAUGUAUAAUUAAUAAGUGAGUCAUCCUUGAGAAUGAUAGGGUUAAAUGGAAUAACCAUCCAUAACUCUACCGCUCAACAUGAGGCCCCUAUUCUAGCAAGGCAAGGGCUUAGCAUGGUCAUAGCAGGAAGAGGCCUAUUUGCCUAGCGGGCCCUUGGAGAAGUUUCACCUACCCUAAGGUCACCUUACACAAUCUGACACAACAGAUUGGUCAUAUAGUGAACCAGACUGUAGAGGCUCUAGGAGAUCUAAAGACCUCUCUUAAUUCUCUUGCUUAUGUGUUGUUGGAUAACUCCUUGGUUCUAGACUAUGUACUGGCAGAACAAGAAGGUAUAUGCACAGUCACCAACACUUCCUGCUGUACUUAGAUGAAUACCACAGGGCAAGUAGAAGUUAAUAUCCAAGCAUUCUAUAAUCAGGAAACGUGUCUACACUCUUUUGUUAAAAAGGAUUUAACAGCUGACUCUAUAUGGGAUGCUAUAAAAUCAACCUUACCCUAUAUAACUUGGUUUCUUCUUUCAUAGGACUCUCAUCGGCUAUCCUCGUCUUAAAUUUUUGGCUCUGUUUGUUUAAUCUACUGGUAAAAGAUGUGUCUUCUAGACUAGACCAAUAUCAUGUCAAGUUAAUGGUCGUUAAGUUUUUGAGCCUGUUCCAGAGACCACCAGCCCGGAGCAAUAUUGGCCCCUUCACCAAGCUGGGAGAGACGUCUACUCCUGCAAACAGAUGAGGGAACUACUCCCAUGCUUAAUAAGAAAUAGCUUCAGAAGAAGAAAUCUUUACCCAGGACCCCUUAAAAAUAAGGAGUAUACAGUCUCUCAAGGGAGAAUGAGACAGCAAGCUAAUUGACUCCCUAUUUUAAGAUGGUCUAGAAGAAAAGGACAAAAGCUCUUUACUCAAGCUUGAGCUUAUACAACUCUCAGCCAAUCACUAGCAAAAGACCCAAAAAGCUAUUAACCACAAGCUCCUAUUUCACGGGGCUAGGGACUUCCCUGGAAACUUUACAUAGACUUAAACUCUAACCUAUAGUUACCCCUUCCUCAUUUUAAUGCUAAAAAUCAUGCCCAGAGGUGGAUAUUUAAAAUACGAAUGCUACAUAUCGAUGUAUAAAGACACAUCGUGACCCAUCAUGCAAGCACUAGAAAAACCCUUCCUAUACAUGCUCUGAUAUAACCCUUCCCUACAAUAAGACCCUACAAAAUUAACCCACUCUACUCUGGGGAGCAGCUACUUCCUCUUCCUUGCUUGUUGCUGGUUCCCUGGUGUAUAAGCUGAAUAAACUUAUGUUUGGUAUUGUCUCCUGAUUUCUAUCCUGGGAAAUUGCAAGCACCCAGGGUGUCAUUAGUAAAACCACAAAGAUUUUCCUUUUUAAUGGGUUACUGAAAGGUUUGUAUUUUUAGCUCUUCCAUUUUGGUAUAGGAUCUACACUUAAGUUUGUAAAUGGUAUGAGGUAAGAUUUGAAGUUCAUUAUUUUAAAAUAUGAAUAUCUUAUAUACAGCACUUUUGGUUGAACACAUUGUCAUCCACCCCCAUUAAAUUACCUUGGUCCUUUUGUCAAAAUUCCGUUGACCAUGCAAGUAUGAGUAUAUUCCUGUACCAUAUGUUUCUGAUGCAUUGAUCUAUAUGUUUGCUGAGUGUUAUUAUAUAUUAUUAAUUCCCCAUUGUCUUAAUUACUAAAGUUUCUAUGAAGUUUGAAAGAGAGGAUAAACAACUUUGAAGCCUACGGUUUGAUAAUAUCUUCAAUAUAAUCAUAAACAUAGCUUUAAAUGAUAGAUGAGACAAACUGAACAGAUUUACCCUACCAGUCAAAUACAUCUGAAUAGAUGAAAGAAAGACACAUUUCCAUUUUUAUGGAUGAAGAGCAUAAAAUUAAAGUUGAGGACUUUGGCUAUAAUUUCUCAGAUAGAAAAUUGUUUGUUUAUUCUAACAUCCAGGCUAUUCAGACACCAAAAUUAUAGGAUCAUGAGAAAGGUUAAAUAACAUAAAGAAUGGAACCUAGCAUCCACUUUCCACCAGAUCCCAUAAAUAAAUACAAUGAGGAUAAAAUGUGUUGAAUGGUUUACUAACUUGCAUCAACAUUGAUGUUAUUUUUUCAUACUACAGUUACUACUCACAUUAGAAUAUUAGCUCCUUGAGUGAAGAAACCUUCCUUUUGUUUACCUCUUGCAAGGCUGAAUCCAUAAUACUAGAGCAGAAAUUACCGCCAAUAAUGUUAUUUCAAGCUCCUCACAAAAAAGACAAGCCAUAUUUUCAGAUGUAGAAUGAGGAAGUAUUGACGAAUAACUUGUUAAAAAUUUUAAACCCUAUAAUAAAAACAAACAAAAAAUCAGGGUAAAAUAAUGACUAAAGUGGGUAACUUCAUCCUCUUUAGUUCUAAUUUACAUAACCUGUACAUUAGAAACACCUCUACUUAUAGUAGCCACCUCAUGAGGUGGUUGUGGUGUUAAAUGUGGCAAUUAAUUCAAGUGUUUAAUACAAUGCCUAUAAUCAUAAAUAUUGUUAAGAGUACUUACAUUUGGUAUUAUUAAUUAUCUUUGGUUAUUAUUUAUAGUCAUUGACCAUAAUCACCAAAGGAAAAUCUGUUUCUGUGAAAAAUUUGAAAGGUUGUGGGGAGGUUUGCUAUACUUGGGUUUUGCAGGAACAUGAGCUUCAAUGACAGAAAGCUCUCAAAUGGAAGGUACAAGGACGAGAGGAGAGAAGCACAUUCUCUGAAUGUUAUGCUAAGAGAAGGUUUUGUUUACCCACUUGGCAGGGAAAAAGGAGAAGAACUAUAAAAGGCUUCUUUAUACAUCAUGUUUUUCUCUACCAGAAAUUAGAGAAUUUGGGCUUAAUUUUCUUGCAAAAAAAUAAAAAAUAAUAAACAAUUAUAUAGAAAUGUAAACACAAUCCUCAUCUCCCACACCUGUUCACUAUUUAUGUAUCCUUGAGAGGAUGAAUUAGAACAAAGAGUUGUCAGUACCAUGAUGAGAAAUGCAAAAGAUUGGUGGAGAUUUUUCUCCCACCAGAUGUAUAAAAUGAAGGGUCUUAUAAAUCUUGUUAAGACCACAUUGAGUCAGGGUGCUCUGGUGGCUGAGAUAAUGGUCUUGGAGAAUCCAGCAAUUUUUAUUUCACUGUGAUGUGUUUUUAAAUAAAGUGUACAUGUGACUCAACAAACGAGCUGGUUUCUUUCAUAACUUAGUCCAGAUCUG
rnacentral:lncRNA from 1 species